AAUUUUUUUAUUAAUUUAUAUUUUUAAUUUAAAUAUAUUUAAUUUUAUUAAUUAUAAUGAAAAGAUUUUUUUUAUUUAUAGUAUAAUAGUAUUGUGAAAGAAAUAAUUUUAUUAUUUGAAAGAAAAUUUAUUUGUUGUACCUUGUGUAUCAGGGUUUAUUAAAUAUGGAUUAAAUAUUUAAUGUUCUCGAUUUAUUGAGAGUUAUGAUAUUGUUAAUUUUUAUGUUGAAAAAUAAUUUUUUACAAUAUUAUUGAAAUGAAAUGUUAGUCGUUCAAUAAUAUAUCUAGUUUUUUAAGAAAUGAAUUAAAUUUAUAAUAUUUUAUUAAUUUAUAAAAUUUAUAUUGUAAGUUAAUAAUUUAUUUUAUGAUAUAUGGGAUUAGCUAUAUAUCAUAUUAAUAAAAUUAAAAUUAAGAUUUUAAUUUUGUAGGAUUAUAAAUUUUUAUCUCUAGUUUGUUAUAAUUAUAUUAAGGUUAAUUACAAUUUUUUUUAUUUUAUUUAUUUUAUUAAAAUUUGUUAAUAAAUUUUGUAUUAGUAGUAAUAAUGAUAUAAUUAGUAUUAUAAAUUUUAUAAGUUAUUUUUUGGUUUAAUAUAAUUUAAAGGAAUUCGGCAAAAUAGUUUUCGCCUGUUUAUUAAAAACAUGUCUUUAUGAAUUUAAUAUUAGGUUUAACCUGCCCACUGAAUAUUGAAUGGCUGCAGUAUUUUGACUGUACUAAGGUAGCAUAAUAAUUAGGCCUUUAAAUUGGGUCUGGAAUGAAUGGUUGGACGAGAAACUUGCUGUCUCUAAAUUAUUAAUAGAAUUUUAUUUUUAGGUUAAAAAGCUUAAAUUAAGUUAAAAGACGAGAAGACCCUAUAGAGUUUUAUUUAUUAUAUUAAAUUAUUUUAUAAGAAUUUUUAUAAUUAUUAGUUAAGUAAAUUUUGUUGGGGUGAUUGAAAAAUUUAACAAACUUUUUUUUAAUAAUAACAUUAAUUUAUGAUUUUUUGAUCCAUAAAAGUGAUUAUAAGAAUAAAUUACCUUAGGGAUAACAGCGUUAUUUUUCUGGAGAGUUCUUAUCGAUAGAAAAGAUUGCGACCUCGAUGUUGGAUUAAGCAAAAUUUACGGUGUAGAAGUUGUAAAAUUUAGUCUGUUCGACUAUUAAAAGCUUACAUGAUCUGAGUUUAAACCGGCGUGAGCCAGGUUGGUUUCUAUCUUUAAUAAAUUUUAAUAGUUUAGUACGAAAGGACCAACUAUUAAUAAUAAUUGUUAAAUUUUGAAUUUAAUU
rnacentral:rRNA from 1 species